rnacentral:misc_RNA from 1 species
AACGCAUAUUGCGCCCCUUGGAAUUCCGGGGGGCAUGCCUGUUCGAGCGUUUUUUAGAAGCUCAAGCUCUGCUUGGUGUUGGGCGCUUGUCCCCGCUUCGGCGCGGACUCGCCUCAAAGGCAUUGGCGGUGACGGUACGGUGGCCGACAGCGAGCGCAAGCAGCGUGCGCGCUCUCCGCGGCUCCGUCCUGCGUCACGUCCAUAAAGGCUCCAUACCCCGUGUGACCUCGAAUCAGGUAGGGAUACCCGCUGAACUUAA